UGGGAUGUAGCUCAGUUGAUAGAGUGUUUGCCAAGCAUGCAUGAAGCUGUGGGUUCAAUUCCCAUUCCCAU
rnacentral:tRNA from 1 species